CCUUUGUACACACCGCCCGUCGCUACUACCGAUUGAAUGGCUUAGUGAGGUCUCCGGAUUGGUUUUGGGGAACCGGCAACGGUACCCUAUUACUAAGAAGCUGAUCAAACUUGGUCAUUUAGAGG
rnacentral:rRNA from 1 species